rnacentral:rRNA from 1 species
GCGUCUUACCAUGCAGUCGAACGAUGAAGCCUUUCGGGGUGGAUUAGUGGCGAACGGGUGAGUAACACGUGGGCAAUCUGCCCUGCACUCUGGGACAAGCCCUGGAAACGGGGUCUAAUACCGGAUAAUACCUUCCCUCGCAUGGGGGUGGGUUCAAAGCUCCGGCGGUGCAGGAUGAGCCCGCGGCCUAUCAGCUUGUUGGUGAGGUAGUGGCUCACCAAGGCGACGACGGGUAGCCGGCCUGAGAGGGCGACCGGCCACACUGGGACUGAGACACGGCCCAGACUCCUACGGGAGGCAGCAGUGGGGAAUAUUGCACAAUGGGCGAAAGCCUGAUGCAGCGACGCCGCGUGAGGGAUGACGGCCUUCGGGUUGUAAACCUCUUUCAGCAGGGAAGAAGCGAAAGUGACGGUACCUGCAGAAGAAGCGCCGGCUAACUACGUGCCAGCAGCCGCGGUAAUACGUAGGGCGCAAGCGUUGUCCGGAAUUAUUGGGCGUAAAGAGCUCGUAGGCGGUCUGUCGCGUCGGAUGUGAAAGCCCGGGGCUUAACCCCGGGUCUGCAUUCGAUACGGGCAGACUAGAGUGUGGUAGGGGAGAUCGGAAUUCCUGGUGUAGCGGUGAAAUGCGCAGAUAUCAGGAGGAACACCGGUGGCGAAAGCGGAUCUCUGGGCCAUUACUGACGCUGAGGAGCGAAAACCUGGGGAGCGAACAGGAUUAGAUACCCUGGUAGUCCACGCCGUAAACGGUGGGAACUACGUGUUGGCGACAUUCCACAUCCUCGGAGCCGCAGCUAUUACAUUAAUUUCCCCGCCUGUGGAGUACCCCCGCACCGCUUUAACU